UUGGGAAAGGGAAAAGAGGAGCUGUUACUGAUAAGUUGAAACCAUGUUAUGCUAUGCUCUUGGCCUGAGAAUAGAGGAGCAGUUACUGAUAGGUUGAAACCAUGUUAUGCUAUGCUCUUGGCCUGAGAAUUGUGUCAGUCUUUUGUGCAAGAAUGUAGAAGAAUUAUUAUAAUUCUAAUUGUGUUAUGUUUCUUUGUUUUGUAUUCUGUGUUGGAUUUCAGUUCUGCUAAUCUUUGUGGCACGUACUGCUUCAUUGCCUGAUGUUGCAUAAUACAGAAUAGUGUUGGCAUGUUGAGAUGAUCAAAUUAAUAUUAACAAUAAAAGAAAAAUGACAAGACUGUUUAGUUGGAUUACAAUUGCACAAAACAUGACCUCGUCGCCUCAUUUUUUUUAUUUUUUUUUUGGCUAAGAAUGAAUUAAGCCAAAUUAUGAAAUUAAUAAAGAAAGAAGAGUUCUUUCUACAAACAAGUUUGUCAAUAGGUACAUUCCGUCCUCUGCAAAACCAUGCAAUUAUGCAGAUUCAUCUUUUUUUUACACAAGACAAGGAAAGAAAUUUCUGAACAAAAUAAAAUGAGAAAUUCAUAAAGCAAGGCCAUUUCUUCUGAACUUGAAAAGUUGAUCUAUUAUGAAGAUUGGGGAGAACACAAGAAACGAGACAAAUGUAAGAACCUGUUCAAUUCGGUAACACGGAGCAAGAUGGCUACAAAUAAUAUUUAGGAACUAAAAAAUGUGAUUUAUUUUCAUUGGAACUAAAAACAAAACUGCAGAUAUUUAUAGGGACCAAAAACUUAAUUAACCCUUUUAAAAACCGUUUUUUGGAUCCUCCAUUUAUUUUAUUUUCUUCAUAAAUUUGGGUCUUUUUUGAUGAUGUGACAUUUUUUAAGAGGAAAUAAACGCUUAUAGCAUCUUAUUUUUUUAUGAUGUUAACUCGCUUAAAGUAGUCGGCAAUUUUUUCCGAGUUAAAAUAUAAUAAAUAUUGUUUUAAAAAAAAUUAAACUAACUCAUUCAAAUUAAUACUGGAAAAAAUCGAACCUCAUACUUUAAGAAGGGUCACGCUUUAAAGUUCACGACCAACUUAUUGUUAAGUUGGGACAAAAGAAUAUUAUACUUUUAAAAUGGAGACCGAAACUUUUUUUUUUUAAUAGAAAAGACACCGAAACUUGUUUUUAAUAGAAAAGACAAAAUGCAUUUAAUAUUAUUUUCAAAAUAUUAAAUCUUUCUUUUCUUUUUAUACAUUUGUUAACAAUUCACAUUGUCAAUGAAGUAUUAUCCAGAAAACCUUCAUUAUAAAUAUAAGAGUAAAUUACACCCUCUUCCCAUUAAAGAUAUUUGAAUUACAUUUCCCUCCCCUUUUAUAUUAAAAUAUACACUCCCCUCCCUUAAAAAGAAAAAUUUAUACUUGUGAAAUGGUUUAGUUAAUUUUGAUAUGGUUCGAUUCGGUUACUGGUUAAUUUUGCCCACCCCUACACUUGGGUUAAUUCAUGCUUGAUUUAAGUUACGUAGAGAUUAACACUAGAAUUAAAUCACGUUGCGUGAUUUAACACACCUAAAAUAUACACUAGUGUGAUUUAAAUCACAUAAGGACAUUUUAAAUAUUUACUUUGGCAAUGAGCAAAACUGUAAAGAGCAAAAUUCUACACUUAAAUCCCGAAUUGGGCCGAGUAACCAACCCAUUUUGCUAUAUAUAUAUAUAUAUAUAUAUAUAUAUAUAUAUAUAUAUAUAUAUAUAUAUAUAUAGACUUGUCUAUUUCGUUCAAUAGUUUGCCGAUAUCCACUCGCUGAUCGCGUUUGUUUUCAGAGUUCGUUCAUUCGUUUUCUACCUUCUUCAUUGGAUUUGUAUACCUCCCUCAUCUCCAUCAUGUUUGAGGUAUUUUCAUUCCUUUUCAAUUCUGUUUGAUUCGACUCUUCUCAAAUUUGUGAGAUUAGGGUUUGUAACUUUUGAAUUGAUUUUUUUUAUGUGAAAUAGAAUGUUUUGUGAUGGAAUUAAACCUUCCAUUACACUGAUUCUUUGCUCGUAUGUUUCUUUAUCAAUUCAAUCUGUUCUGUGUUGUGUUGUUUGGAGAUAUUCCAAUCUUAUCUUAUUUGCGGGAUUAGGGUUUCAAACCUUUGAAUUGGGGAUUUCAAUUUUGUGUGUGACAAUCUGAUUUUCUUUUUAUUUGCAAGGGUUUUUGUUGAUUGGCUAACAUCUAUGAAGCCCCGAUACCGAUACGAUACGGCCUCGAUAAAUUUAAAAUUAAUAGUAUAAGUGCACAAUGUAUAAACAUAACUAAAAAUGAUAAUAAACAAUGAAAAUGAUCAAAACAAGUGACAAUUACAUAUUUUUUCCGCACAAAUUAGAUAGAAUAUAGCUAAACAUCAUUAGUACCAUCCAAAGAGAACAACAUAAGUACUAUAAAAACAGCAGAAGAAACAUAACAUUAGAGAGAAGAGAAACAGAGUAGAAUUCAAUCAGUGAUAAUGGUUAGAAGAGAGAAUAGCUAUUGCUAUGUGGUGACGAGAAACCCUAUUUUUUUUUUUGUUAGAAGAGACAAUAUGAUUUUGGUAGCGCUUCCAGACUUGAUAGGUGUCCGAGUAUAAGUAAGCUGUGUCGGAGUACAAGUUAGUCGUAUCCGACACGUAUCGGACAUUUUUUUUCCUUCAAAAAAUAAAUAUUAACUGCCCGAUGCUUUUCUGAUACGCGUAUCGGGACGUAUUCGACACGUAUUGGUCAUUGUUUUUCAAAAAAAUAAAUAUUAAUUGUCCGAUACUUUUCCGAUACGCGUAUCGAGGCGUAUCGGUAUCAGAUACAUGUCGGAUACGAUACUUCACCAUUUUUGGAGUAUCGGGGCUUCAGAGGCUAACAUAAAUUAUUCUAUUUGUAACUUAUGGUUUCUUUUUAUUAUUUGUAAGAGAAACUUAUAUGCUACAUAUGUUCCUCAUUUUAUCGUUAUUAUUUUUAUAUUUGUGUUUGCCACUUUUAAUUAAUUAGUUGUUCUCUGUUGGAAUUUAUUCAAAGGAACAUUACCAGCACCCUAGACUCUCCCCAAUGGGCCCUUCACGAUUGCCGCUGCCACCGCAAAUGGGUAAUUCAACCUAAUCCUAUUUUCAUACAAGUAUUAUUUUGCUGUUUGAUUUGAUGAAUCUCAAAUAAUAACUUCACCCUUUGGAUUCUUAUUAUUUCAUCAAUACAAUAGAAAGAAAACUUCUUCAUGAGAAGAAGCGGAAGGAGCAAGAAGUAGAAAGCACAAAGGAGGAUCUUCUCCAUGGGAAGAAGCCAAAGGAGCAAAAAGUAGAAAGUACCGAGGGAGAUCUGCUUUAUGAUGGUGAGAAGCCAAAAGAAUUCGAAUGCCCGGUUUACGCAGAGACAUUGAAAGGUAACUCUCUCUCUCUCUCUGCUUGCAUUUGGUCAAAUAACCUCAGCUUAUGGUUGUUUAUUCUCUUGUUUCAUAUGGAAUAAUAAACAGUCUAUAACAAGCUGAAAGAUAUAGAUACAAUAGACCUCAAGUGGUGUCCAAUUAUACCCGAUAAGGCAAGUUUUUCUCUUAAACUUUCAUAAAUUUAGUUUCUAUGUGCAUAUUUUAAUUCUUUAGGAUUCUCUCUAACAGCAUGCAUACUUGAAGCAUGAGAAAAAGUUUGCUGAACUCUUCAAGAAGCAUGAAGAGAAAAAGAAGCGGUGGAUGCUGAUUGAAGAAGAAAAAGAGCGUCUUGGGAAAGGGAAAAGAGGAGCUGUUACUGAUAAGUUGAAACCAUGUUAUGCUAUGCUCUUGGCCUGAGAAUAGAGGAGCAGUUACUGAUAGGUUGAAACCAUGUUAUGCUAUGCUCUUGGCCUGAGAAUUGUGUCAGUCUUUUGUGCAAGAAUGUAGAAGAAUUAUUAUAAUUCUAAUUGUGUUAUGUUUCUUUGUUUUGUAUUCUGUGUUGGAUUUCAGUUCUGCUAAUCUUUGUGGCACGUACUGCUUCAUUGCCUGAUGUUGCAUAAUACAGAAUAGUGUUGGCAUGUUGAGAUGAUCAAAUUAAUAUUAACAAUAAAAGAAAAAUGACAAGACUGUUUAGUUGGAUUACAAUUGCACAAAACAUGACCUCGUCGCCUCAUUUUUUUUAUUUUUUUUUUGGCUAAGAAUGAAUUAAGCCAAAUUAUGAAAUUAAUAAAGAAAGAAGAGUUCUUUCUACAAACAAGUUUGUCAAUAGGUACAUUCCGUCCUCUGCAAAACCAUGCAAUUAUGCAGAUUCAUCUUUUUUUUACACAAGACAAGGAAAGAAAUUUCUGAACAAAAUAAAAUGAGAAAUUCAUAAAGCAAGGCCAUUUCUUCUGAACUUGAAAAGUUGAUCUAUUAUGAAGAUUGGGGAGAACACAAGAAACGAGACAAAUGUAAGAACCUGUUCAAUUCGGUAACACGGAGCAAGAUGGCUACAAAUAAUAUUUAGGAACUAAAAAAUGUGAUUUAUUUUCAUUGGAACUAAAAACAAAACUGCAGAUAUUUAUAGGGACCAAAAACUUAAUUAACCCUUUUAAAAACCGUUUUUUGGAUCCUCCAUUUAUUUUAUUUUCUUCAUAAAUUUGGGUCUUUUUUGAUGAUGUGACAUUUUUUAAGAGGAAAUAAACGCUUAUAGCAUCUUAUUUUUUUAUGAUGUUAACUCGCUUAAAGUAGUCGGCAAUUUUUUCCGAGUUAAAAUAUAAUAAAUAUUGUUUUAAAAAAAAUUAAACUAACUCAUUCAAAUUAAUACUGGAAAAAAUCGAACCUCAUACUUUAAGAAGGGUCACGCUUUAAAGUUCACGACCAACUUAUUGUUAAGUUGGGACAAAAGAAUAUUAUACUUUUAAAAUGGAGACCGAAACUUUUUUUUUUUAAUAGAAAAGACACCGAAACUUGUUUUUAAUAGAAAAGACAAAAUGCAUUUAAUAUUAUUUUCAAAAUAUUAAAUCUUUCUUUUCUUUUUAUACAUUUGUUAACAAUUCACAUUGUCAAUGAAGUAUUAUCCAGAAAACCUUCAUUAUAAAUAUAAGAGUAAAUUACACCCUCUUCCCAUUAAAGAUAUUUGAAUUACAUUUCCCUCCCCUUUAUAUUAAAAUAUACACUCCCCUCCCUUAAAAAGAAAAAUUUAUACUUGUGAAAUGGUUUAGUUAAUUUUGAUAUGGUUCGAUUCGGUUACUGGUUAAUUUUGCCCACCCCUACACUUGGGUUAAUUCAUGCUUGAUUUAAGUUACGUAGAGAUUAACACUAGAAUUAAAUCACGUUGCGUGAUUUAACACACCUAAAAUAUACACUAGUGUGAUUUAAAUCACAUAAGGACAUUUUAAAUAUUUACUUUGGCAAUGAGCAAAACUGUAAAGAGCAAAAUUCUACACUUAAAUCCCGAAUUGGGCCGAGUAACCAACCCAUUUUGCUAUAUAUAUAUAUAUAUAUAUAUAUAUAUAUAUAUAUAUAUAUAUAUAUAUAGACUUGUCUAUUUCGUUCAAUAGUUUGCCGAUAUCCACUCGCUGAUCGCGUUUGUUUUCAGAGUUCGUUCAUUCGUUUUCUACCUUCUUCAUUGGAUUUGUAUACCUCCCUCAUCUCCAUCAUGUUUGAGGUAUUUUCAUUCCUUUUCAAUUCUGUUUGAUUCGACUCUUCUCAAAUUUGUGAGAUUAGGGUUUGUAACUUUUGAAUUGAUUUUUUUUAUGUGAAAUAGAAUGUUUUGUGAUGGAAUUAAACCUUCCAUUACACUGAUUCUUUGCUCGUAUGUUUCUUUAUCAAUUCAAUCUGUUCUGUGUUGUGUUGUUUGGAGAUAUUCCAAUCUUAUCUUAUUUGCGGGAUUAGGGUUUCAAACCUUUGAAUUGGGGAUUUCAAUUUUGUGUGUGACAAUCUGAUUUUCUUUUUAUUUGCAAGGGUUUUUGUUGAUUGGCUAACAUCUAUGAAGCCCCGAUACCGAUACGAUACGGCCUCGAUAAAUUUAAAAUUAAUAGUAUAAGUGCACAAUGUAUAAACAUAACUAAAAAUGAUAAUAAACAAUGAAAAUGAUCAAAACAAGUGACAAUUACAUAUUUUUUCCGCACAAAUUAGAUAGAAUAUAGCUAAACAUCAUUAGUACCAUCCAAAGAGAACAACAUAAGUACUAUAAAAACAGCAGAAGAAACAUAACAUUAGAGAGAAGAGAAACAGAGUAGAAUUCAAUCAGUGAUAAUGGUUAGAAGAGAGAAUAGCUAUUGCUAUGUGGUGACGAGAAACCCUAUUUUUUUUUUUGUUAGAAGAGACAAUAUGAUUUUGGUAGCGCUUCCAGACUUGAUAGGUGUCCGAGUAUAAGUAAGCUGUGUCGGAGUACAAGUUAGUCGUAUCCGACACGUAUCGGACAUUUUUUUUCCUUCAAAAAAUAAAUAUUAACUGCCCGAUGCUUUUCUGAUACGCGUAUCGGGACGUAUUCGACACGUAUUGGUCAUUGUUUUUCAAAAAAAUAAAUAUUAAUUGUCCGAUACUUUUCCGAUACGCGUAUCGAGGCGUAUCGGUAUCAGAUACAUGUCGGAUACGAUACUUCACCAUUUUUGGAGUAUCGGGGCUUCAGAGGCUAACAUAAAUUAUUCUAUUUGUAACUUAUGGUUUCUUUUUAUUAUUUGUAAGAGAAACUUAUAUGCUACAUAUGUUCCUCAUUUUAUCGUUAUUAUUUUUAUAUUUGUGUUUGCCACUUUUAAUUAAUUAGUUGUUCUCUGUUGGAAUUUAUUCAAAGGAACAUUACCAGCACCCUAGACUCUCCCCAAUGGGCCCUUCACGAUUGCCGCUGCCACCGCAAAUGGGUAAUUCAACCUAAUCCUAUUUUCAUACAAGUAUUAUUUUGCUGUUUGAUUUGAUGAAUCUCAAAUAAUAACUUCACCCUUUGGAUUCUUAUUAUUUCAUCAAUACAAUAGAAAGAAAACUUCUUCAUGAGAAGAAGCGGAAGGAGCAAGAAGUAGAAAGCACAAAGGAGGAUCUUCUCCAUGGGAAGAAGCCAAAGGAGCAAAAAGUAGAAAGUACCGAGGGAGAUCUGCUUUAUGAUGGUGAGAAGCCAAAAGAAUUCGAAUGCCCGGUUUACGCAGAGACAUUGAAAGGUAACUCUCUCUCUCUCUCUGCUUGCAUUUGGUCAAAUAACCUCAGCUUAUGGUUGUUUAUUCUCUUGUUUCAUAUGGAAUAAUAAACAGUCUAUAACAAGCUGAAAGAUAUAGAUACAAUAGACCUCAAGUGGUGUCCAAUUAUACCCGAUAAGGCAAGUUUUUCUCUUAAACUUUCAUAAAUUUAGUUUCUAUGUGCAUAUUUUAAUUCUUUAGGAUUCUCUCUAACAGCAUGCAUACUUGAAGCAUGAGAAAAAGUUUGCUGAACUCUUCAAGAAGCAUGAAGAGAAAAAGAAGCGGUGGAUGCUGAUUGAAGAAGAAAAAGAGCGUCUUGGGAAAGGGAAAAGAGGAGCUGUUACUGAUAAGUUGAAACCAUGUUAUGCUAUGCUCUUGGCCUGAGAAUAGAGGAGCAGUUACUGAUAGGUUGAAACCAUGUUAUGCUAUGCUCUUGGCCUGAGAAUUGUGUCAGUCUUUUGUGCAAGAAUGUAGAAGAAUUAUUAUAAUUCUAAUUGUGUUAUGUUUCUUUGUUUUGUAUUCUGUGUUGGAUUUCAGUUCUGCUAAUCUUUGUGGCACGUACUGCUUCAUUGCCUGAUGUUGCAUAAUACAGAAUAGUGUUGGCAUGUUGAGAUGAUCAAAUUAAUAUUAACAAUAAAAGAAAAAUGACAAGACUGUUUAGUUGGAUUACAAUUGCACAAAACAUGACCUCGUCGCCUCAUUUUUUUUAUUUUUUUUUUGGCUAAGAAUGAAUUAAGCCAAAUUAUGAAAUUAAUAAAGAAAGAAGAGUUCUUUCUACAAACAAGUUUGUCAAUAGGUACAUUCCGUCCUCUGCAAAACCAUGCAAUUAUGCAGAUUCAUCUUUUUUUUACACAAGACAAGGAAAGAAAUUUCUGAACAAAAUAAAAUGAGAAAUUCAUAAAGCAAGGCCAUUUCUUCUGAACUUGAAAAGUUGAUCUAUUAUGAAGAUUGGGGAGAACACAAGAAACGAGACAAAUGUAAGAACCUGUUCAAUUCGGUAACACGGAGCAAGAUGGCUACAAAUAAUUGCUUCUCUUCAGCUGCUUUACUCCCAAGUCCCGCCAUGCCACCACCCAGAGCUGACAUGUGUAGGUAGGUUUUUUCACAAACUCAAAUAGAGUAAAAUAUAGAACAAGGUAAAAGAGAAAUGUUCAGAAAUCGUGUAGCCAGAAGCAUAAUAAAUCACAAAAUAUCAAAGCUCCUUCCUUGUCCAUGAGAGUCAUACUCCGUCUUUGCUCUGUGAACCAUCCAGUCAAAACAAAGUCAGAAUUGUAAAAUCAAGAAUGCAUAAGGAAGGAAGGAAGCAAAACACUUUUAAGAAAAAGGAAAGAUAACUGUCAAAUGUGCAUUCACAAUGAAGAAAUUCAAUUCGCCUGAUGCAAUGGGAGGUUCUCGUCCAUUUCAUGAUUAUGAGAAUACAGCUCGCUACAACUAAUGACAUUAGACACUGAUUUUGUUCUAUACGUCCACUUUCUUUGACUUAUUCGAUAACACAAUCCCCUCCCAACCCAAGAAGUAUGAUGUAUAACACUACUAAUGUCAAGCCAACACACUUCAUACAUGAGUCAUCGUGUCAGUUGACGAAUACACAAUAGUCUUAAAUCAUAUCUUGAUCUUGUUCUUCAUGUAAAAAAAAAAGAUACAGCUGGAAAAUAUCAAAGUCACAUGAAAUGUUUCGUUACCAUUUAACUCCCAACUAGAAUAAGGCAGAGUUAUUGUCUUUCAAACACCAUCGGCUCACGCUAAAUCUAACAAAAAAAGCUAGACAUAUAUAAUUAUAUAGAUCCUAGCCUCCCCUCGUCAUUCAAAUAUAAGCUUACAUCCCCUUAGACACAAAGACAAUUUCUGUAACAUCUGGUACUUUGCAUUUAAAUAUGUGGAACAGGCACUGUGAAUUGUCAUGUUACUCAAUACAUUUGAACUGCGCAUAACAUAUUCUGCAAUAUGUUGGAAGCUAAUUUCAUGUCGAAAGUAUUAGGAGUUUUAAUUUAAGAACAGUAAACUUCCUACAAGUGAAUAUGUUGGAAGCUAAUUUCAUGUCGAAAGUAUGAAACAACAUGUUAAGUUCAAGGGUUUCAGUUCGUCUUUGUAUGGCUGCAAUAAUAAGUUGGGUGAAAUUGUUGGGUUCGUCCAAUCUAAAACAACAUUUGAGGCGGAAUGAUAGUAUUGGCAGUGUGUUGUCGCACGAUAGCAAGACUGAGUAAAUAUGACUGCAAAUAGUGGUUAUUUCCGUGAAGAUUGUGUGAUCGGUAAAAUCGAGAGUGAGGACUGAGAUACAUAAUGGUUUCCACCUCUUUGAGAGGAUGCUUGUGGCGACGGUGUCUUUGGUUGGGAGAAAGGAGAGAAUGUGACAGAUAAUUGAGUCUGGAAGGGAGCUAACCCUGUCGUACUCACACUCUUCUAUUGGUAUCGAUGAUCGCUGCUUCUUGGACUUUGACAUCGCAGUUGAUUGCAAAACCAGGAUGAUCAAAGCAAAGUGAAUUCUGAUAAUACCUAUAGCCUUUGAACUAAUAGGAUUCAAUAGCUGGCACUGUGGUUUUACAUGGAAGCUUACACUUCCCUUCCCUCCUUCGGUCUCUCUUCAUACGGCCUCUCCAACCUUGAAAAACUAUACGGUAAACCCAUUACACUUGCCGAUAGAGAAAUGGUUGAAGAAAAAGCGGAUGAUAUUCUCUCCCAAGCUCAACUUUCUCAUGCUGAUUUCCUUGUUGUUGGUGAUCCUUUUGAAAUGGCAGCUACUCUCAUAAGCAUAUCUAAUCUAUAUGAUAUGAUUAUGCCCUAACAAUUUUAUUGUUUUGCUUAAAUUAUUGAUUUUGGUGUUUUUCACAGGGGGCUACCACCACUCACACUGACCUUGUUGUUCGAGCUAAGAAGAUGGGAAUCGAAGUCAAAGUUGUGCACAAUGCAUCUGUCAUGAAUGCAAUUGGGAUUUGUAGCUAUAUCGUUAUGGUUUGCAGCUAUAUCGUUAUGGGGGAACUGUUUCAAUACCUUUCUUUACGGAGACGUGGAGACCUGAUAGCUUCUAUAUAUGAAAAGAUUCAACAAAGUCUAUAUUUGGGACUUCACACACUUUGCUUGUUAGAUUAGGUUACUCUCUGUUAUUUUUACUCUCAACUUGUGCUCAAUUGUUUGAAAUUUUUGUGCCUGUAUCAAUGUCGCUUUUAUCAAGAAAAUACAUUCAAUGUGGAAUAAUUAAGUGCUUGUUCCUGUUUGUAUCAGAUCACUUGCCUCAAGAAACCAUGUUGAUACUAGGAUGUAUAGCGAGAUCCUUUACAGUAGAAGCUAGGCAUAAGAUCGAUCACAGUGUUCAAAUUUAUAUUGCUGUUGGACAACUAUGUGAUUGAAAAUGUUUCCCAAUCUAGUAAUUAGAAUGAAGCAAAAUCACAGGUACUGUUUUCUAUGCAACUUCAUUAGGUGUCAUUUACUUUCUUUAAGGGAAGGAAACUCUGCUAGAACCUUCAGGUUUGAUUUAUUUAUAGCGUGUAAUGGAAACAUGGCUACAAUGGUUUUAUUUUGCUCUAUGGCUUCUUCCUUCAAUUUCCAUGUGGCUGUGAUAGGUUCCUAUUUCUAAUUGAAAUCCUGAGAAAUGAACAAGACUUCUUCAUUGUUUUCUAAGAAAAUCCUGAGAAAUUAACGUCUUCCAUUCAAAAAAUUUGUGCCUUUAUAUUAUAUAUAUAUAUAUAUUUCAAAACUAUAAUAAUGGACAUUUGUUUCUUCAAAAAAAUAAUGGACAUUUUUAUUUAUUUUAGAAAAUGAAAAGAAUCUCAACCUAAUAUUUAUAUUGUUGUGCCCAACCAAGCCUAGCUCGUGAGCGAGUGUUUGUUAGUGUGUGUCAAAAUGUUUGACGUCAGUCAUUUUAUGUUAAAUGAAGAUCCAAUUUGAUAUUAGUUAUUUUCUUUCUAUUUGAUUUAGUUUUAUACAAAAUGUAACGCCCAAUUUAUCCUAAUUUUUUUAAAGGCUUAAUACAUGCUUUGGUUCCUUAACUUAUUUUCGGAUUUCAUUUUGGUCCCCUAACUAUAAAGUGUCUCAAUUUGGUCCAUUAUGUCUUUUGUCGUUACCUCUUUUGGUACUAUCCGUUACAUUUUAACUAUUUGAUCUAUAUUUCAAAUAGAAACCGUUGGAUCAUGUAGGUUUAUUGUAGCCUACGGUAAAUGAUUAACACUUGAUUUUUUUAAGCCAAAAUUAUAUAAAAAAAUUCAUAUUUUUUAUAAAAUCAUUUUCAAAAUUAAAAAAAAAUAUUUUUUUACGAAAUUUUUAAAAAAGGUUAGUUUUUUUUUCGAAAAAAGGUUUUUUUAAUUUUUUCCUACAAAAUUCUGGAAAUUUUUUUUUUGAAAAAAAUAUAAAAAAUUGGGUGGAUUCUAGGAUGAACCAUCAAAUAAGUGGUUCAUCGGUGGACCACCUUUAUACACCAUCAGAUUUAAAUUAAAGGUUUAAAUGUGUUAGAGACAAAAGUGAGAACACAAGUAUAUUUUUGCACACUAUCCUUGUUACGUUUGAUUCCGAUGAGUUUUACAACAAUGUUACAACCACAAAAUAUAUUGCCCCUCCACCAUCACCACAACCUCCAUCUUUUCAAAGGAUUUAUUCAAAAUAUAUAAUAAAAAAAUUGCUUCCUUUCCUUUAAAAGAAAGAAACAAAAACUCAUUUUACUUCACCACUCCAAUUCAAAAUUUAUGAAUACGCUUUCUCGGAUUUGGUUUUGAUUCAAAGAGAAAACGUAAUCCAUGGUUUGCAACGGCAGUAAAAGAAAUUGAGUUGAUUCCAUAACUCAGUAACCCUUAUGCAUACAAUAUAUUAAGGAUACAAAAAUUGUUGGAAGGGUGAGUAUGAAUCAAAUUAAUUUGAUAAAUGUGAAAUUAAUUGAAAAAGAAUGAACAGUUUUUUAUUCUUGGGGUCAAAGAAGGAGUUUUUUUUAUCUCUUUACACCGUCAGUUUUUUAUUCUUGGGGGUACCAUUAAUGGAAAAGAGGAAGGAAAAGGAGAGGAAGAAGCAAGAGCGAGAGGGAGGAAGAGAAAGGAAAAUAAAAAGUGAUGUAGUGCAGACAGUGUAUAAUAGGAUCUAUGAGAUUGAUGAAUCUAAUGGCUCUCAACUAUUAUUCAAGAUGGAUCACCGGUGAGGGACUUGUUUGAACCCUCACCCUAGAAUCCACCAAAAAAUUGAGAUUUUAAAAUUAGAAAAAAAAAAAAAAUAUAUUCCAGAAUUUUUAUAAAAUCUUUUCCAAGAUUUAAAAAUUUGAUUUUUUUUCACGAAAUUUCAAAAACAGGUGGAUUCUAGGAUGAGGGAUCAAUCAAGUCCCUCACCGGUGGAGAACGUAAAAAGCGCCGUUAGAUUUAAUGAGCGGAUUAGAUUUGUUGAUAUUAAAAAUGAGAACAUUAACAAAUUUCCACACACAAUUCUGCAUUAUAUCUUCCCUGUCCUCUCCAACCCACCAAAUUUCGUGGAAGAUUCUUGCUGCAAAUCAAAACUUUUCUAACAAAAUAAUCUAUCUUUUAUGUGGGUCGUCUGAUCCUCUCUCAAGUUUAGUGUUUAGAUGAAGGAAACAGAACCAUGGAUGAUGUAAUUUAAUUAUGAAUAUGGCUGCGUUUUACUUAAUUAAGCAUUGGUUGCUUCUUUGUUUUGUUUUUCAUGGUUUUAGUAGAACAGAUCGAUUAGAGGUUAAAAUUGAAUAGAUUUCCUAAACCAUAUUUUCAUCAUCACCACAACCAGAGAAGUAUAUAUAUAUAAAAGCCAAAAGGGCAGAAGAACCAUAUAUGGUCCCAACCAAUAUACAACUUUUGUUCUUCUAAAGUUAAUUGGUUGCAAAAUUAAUUUUUUUUUCUUCAUAUAAUUUAGAUUUUCCUCGAGCAGUUUUGCAAAUUUUAGCAAGUUAGAAAAUAAUCAAAUGAAGAAGACAGAGAGCCAGAAUUGUGUGUGGAGAUGUAUUGUUGUUCUCAUUUAUAAUAUCAACAAAUCUGAACCUCUGAUUUAAUCUGAUGGUAAUUUUUAUGUGCUUCACCGGUGAGGGACUUGAUUGAUCCCUCACCCUAGAAUCCACCUCAAAAACAGGUCAGAUUUUUUUUCCCAAAAAAAAAUGUUUUUUUAAUUUUUUCUACAAAAUUCUGAAAAAUAUUUUAAUUUAAAAAUCAAGAAUUCUGAAUUUAAAAAAGUUAUAAAAAGGUGGAUUCUAAGAUGAGGGUUCAACUAGAUCCCUCACCAGUGGAACAUGAACAUAAUGCCCUUAGAUAUAAUUAACGGUUGAUCUUGAUUGAAAAUAAUAAUGUAAACAUGUAUACAUUGAAGUAACCACACUGUAUCUGUAACUUCUCCAUCGACGACAAACUCAUCGGAAUUGGUAAUUGGAUUAUCAGAGAUUGAUGAAUGAAUUUUUCGGAGAACUAUUCUAUUUUGUUAUUGUUCAGCAGUUAAGUUGCUUUUUGAUUUUGGGAAAUGCUUUUUUUUUUUUUUUUUUUUUUUUUGAAUGAGGGAAAUGCCUUUGUUAUCUUCUCCAUGGUAGUAACUGUCACCUCAUGUCCCAAUCAAAGAGAGAUGUAACAAAAUAGUGGUAUAACAAAGAAGAUAUGUAAUUCCAUAUUUUAGUUGUGCCUUUAAUUAAAUCUUGAAGCCUAUGUUGGGCGUUGGAGUGUGUCUUUGGUUAAAAUAAUCUACCAUGGCUUGUAGUUUGAUGCAUCAAACGAAUUUUUUUUUUUUUUUUUUUGCCCUUAUUUAAUUCCAAAAAUACAAAAAUGCCCUAGUUUUGAAAAAAAUUGCAUAAAUGCCCUACUUUUCAGAAAUUUCUGGUACCUUGCAACCCCCACUUGCGGGGUACCUUAAAAAAAUUUAAAAAAUUAACUACCCCGCAAGUGGGACUUGCGGCCUACAUUUUUUUUUUUUUUUUUAAAUUAAAUAACUACCACUUGCGGCCUAUAUGUUUUUUGUUUUUUUUAAAAAAAAUUAAAUAACUUGCUACCCCAACUUGCGGGGUAUUUAAUUUUUUUAAAAUUUUUUUUAAUACCCCGCAAGCCCCACUUGCGGGUUUGUUUUUUGUUUUUUGUUUUUUAAAUUUUUAAAAUAAAAAAUAAUAAUAAAAAAAAAAGAAGGAAAAAAAAUAAUAAACAUAUUAAAUAUCAUGAUAUCUACAAUUAUUAUAAAUGCCCGGCUGUCCCACACCCUCGUCUUCGACGAUUUCUUCCGCGAUUUACUUGAGGGUCAUGUUGGUCUUCGUCGUUGUUAUCUGCAGCUGAUUGUAUUUGACUACCAUAACCCAAUGACAAUGACACAUCGUGUUCCCUUGUUGGCCAUCCCAUAUCCAGAAAUGAGGUGAUUAAAUUCAACAGUCAUCAUGUCACUCAGUUUGACCGGGAUCGAUAUACCUUUUCCGUCCGUGAAACCAUCGAUCAUAAAGAAGGAUUGCCAAAGGGAGAAUACAAAGUGGACCUGCAAAAUAAAUGGUGUGACUGUGGACGGUUUAGAGCGUUACACCUACCAUGCUCACAUGUCAUUGCCGCAUGUUCUAGCUUUUGUCACGACUACAAGACUUUUCAAAAGUGGGGCAUUUUUGUAUUUUUGGAAUUAAAUAAGGGCAGAAAAAAAAAAUUCGCAUCAAACAUUAUUUUGUACAGGCAACCAUCUUGUUUUGAUUUUUGUUGGAGAAAAAACCAGACAAAGAAGAUGAUAAGAGGAUUGUGUAUGGAAAUGAACACAUAUUCUUAAUUUUAUUUUCAACUAAUCUAAACCUUUGAUUAAAUCCAACAUUAUUUUUCUAAUGGACCACCGGUGAGGGACUUAAUUGAACCCUCACUGUAGAAUUCACCUUAUAAAAAAGGUCAUAUUUUGUUUUUAAUUUUUUCUACAAAACUUUGGAAAAUAUUUUCAUUUUGAAAAAUAUAUAAAAAAAUUCAGAUUUUUAUGAAAUAUGAAAAAAAAAAUUAUUCCUGAAUUUUAUAAAAUCUUUUUCAAAAUUUGGAAAAAAAUAUUUUUUUUGCGAAAUUAAAAAAAAGGGCAAUUUUUUUUUCUUUCUUAUUUUAAAAUCUGAUUUUUUUAUAUAUUUUUCCAAAAAUUUGUAGGAAAAAAUAAAAAAAAACAAUCUGACUUUUUUUAAAAAUUUCGUAAAAAAAUAUUUUUUUUUUUAUUUUGAAAAUGAUUUUAUAAAAAAUCUGGAAUAUUUUUUUUAUAUAUUUUUGGCUUCAAAAAAAUCAGGUGUUAAUCAUUCACCGUAGGCUACAAUAAACCUACAUGAUCCAACAGUUUCUAUUUGAAAAAUAGAUCAAACAGUUAAAAUGUAACAGAUAUGACCAAAAGAAAUAAGAGACCAAAUUGAGACACUUUAUAUUUAGGGACCAAAAUGAAAUCCGAAAAUAAGUUAAGGGACCAAAGCAUGUAUUAAGCUAAUUUGAUAUUAGUUAUUUUCUUUCUAUUUGAUUUAGUCUUAUACAAAAUGUAACGCCCAAAUUAUCCUAAUUUUUUUAAAUUAGGGACAAAUUAUUAAUUCCCUUUUUUUUUUUUGGUCAAGUAGCUUAGUGGCCAGAGCUCACACAAUUAAAUUGUGGAGAAGUGGAGUGUCUGGGGUUCGAACCCCAGUCCCUGCAUAUAAUAUGCAAUAUCCCUACCAACUGAGCUAAGCUCACGGGGAUAAUUAUUAAUCCCUUUAUUAUAACGUGUUUGAAACUAAUUUGUUUACAUUUAAAAAUGUAAAAUUGCGAGAAUAAUAUUCAAAACAAUUUUUUUUUCUCUUUUUUUAUUUUUUAUUUCUCCACUCUCCAAAAUCCCUUUCAAAUUUCAAUCAUACCUACUUCUCUCAUUCACCGAAAAAUAAAAUCCUAAAUUAUUAUUUCCUCCUCUCCUCAAGACUCUGAGACAUAUUCCUCCGAGACAUAUCUGCACAACAUUUCAAAAAGCAAAAAAUCAAUUAGACAUUUUCAUAUGAACAUUGUGUAAUUUCUAACAAUUCAACAACAACACUUAUAUUUCGGCAAUGUCAUUUCAAUCCGUAAAAUACCACAUUACAGUCAAACUAACUAUAAUCGACAUUAACAAACAUAUUUCUAACUAACUAUUGUAUACCCGUGUACCACACGAGAAAAUUUCCUUGAACAAAAUAAAAAAUAAAAUAUUUGAGUACCAACAAUUAUUUUGUUGCAAUUUCAUUAUCAAAAGAUAAAUAGUUUUUUCAAAUUCAUUUUUCAAAGAAAGUUAAACUUCUAAAAAUGAUUAUUACUUUUUGAAUAAAGUGAUUUUGUUAUUUUUUCCGAAAAUAUGUUCAACUAAUACACUCUAAAUUAUAUAGUAUAAUAAUCAUUUUUUAUUUUCAACUAAUUAGAAUUUGGUGAAGUUAGAUGUGUUUGGUGAUCAUGGGUGGUUGGAUGCGGUGAUAUCACGCAAGGUGGGAAAUAUGAUGAAUACAAGUUUUUGGAAUGUUAAGUGGCGGGGGAAGAGGUGUUUUAGGCUUAAAUAUCCAAGACUUUAUUCGAUCUCAAAUCAAAGAGAGGCGAGGGUUGGGGAGGUGGGUGUGGUGUCGGAGGUGGGGAGGGUGUGGUUGUUUAGUUGGAGGAGACAUCUUUUUGUUUGGGAGGAGGAGUUGCUUGUUAGUCUCAUGGAGGAUUUGGAAGGGAUGAGGUGGUAUAAUCGAGAGGAUGAGUGGAGGUGGAAUUUAGAAGAGUUGGGAGUUUUCUCAAUAAAAUUGGCUUAUGGCUAUUUGAUGGGGUUGGUGGAGCCGGAGGACUCGUGGAAUAUCGAAGAGGAACGGAUGUUCGUUAGGUUGUGGAAGAGUCCGGCACCGUCAAAAGUUGUGGCAUUUGCUUGGAAAGUGUUGCUCAAUUGUGUUCCAACAAAAGCUAAUCUUGCAUUGAGAAAUGUUCUUACCCCGGGAACUACUUCCUUAUGUGUUUUAUGUAAUGGUAGUGGGGAAACAACAAAUCAUCUUUUUCUUCAUUGUCAUAUGGUGAGUAUGGUUUGGUCUCGAUUGAUGAUUUGGUUGGAUUGGUAUUUUUUGACUCCUCCAAACCUAUUUGUCCAUUGGGAGUGUUGGAGUAGAAGGGGUGGUGACAAAAAUAGGUUGACGGGCUUGUGGUUGAUAUGGCAAGCUACAAUAUGGGUUGUGUGGAAAGCUAGGAAUUAUAAGAUAUUCAAGGGGAGUAAUUAUGAGAUUGGGGAAAUUGUGGAGGAUAUUAAGGUGUUAUCUUGACGUUGGGUGUUGGAGAGAAUGAAGAUUCCGGUGUGUCUUUAUUAUGAGUGGUGUUGGAAUCCUAUCUUUUGUCUCGACAGGGUCCCGGUGCGUGUGUAGUUGCUGCGCGGGGUGGGUGAUUGGUGUCUCUGUUCAUUUAGGCUGGCAGUUUUUUUGUUCUAGCAGUAGGGGAGGUGUGCCUUGGCUUGAUUCUGGUGCUGUUUUUUCGGUUUUGGCUUAAGUCUUUUGUGGGUUUUGCUGUGCAGUAUCCUUUUCUCCUGGCGGCUUCCUUGUUUCCCUUUUGUGCUGCUACUGAUUGGUGUUUGUUUCUGGUGCUGAGCAGAAUUCUGUCUUCAGUUGUAGCUGAGCAGUUAGGCUGGGGUAGGAGGUGUGUUGGCAGCUCUUUUAGCAGGUUGGCGGUCUUAGGUGUUGAUGCAGGGGUAUGCGUUUGGUGCGUCAAAUGUAUAUGUCAGCUUCUUAGCUCUUUUGAUUGUUUUUUUUUGUUUUGGGGUGGUUUUUAAGGGGUUUUUGUUUGAGCCGGUGUUUGUGCGGCAACCGAUUUUCCCUUGUAUGUUUAAUUUUCCCACCCAAGUUUAUUAGUGCUUCUUGCAUGAGCUUGUUGGUUAAUAAUUUUUGUCAUUUCAAAAAAAAGAAUUUGCUAAUAGAUUGUUGCAUAUUACACGAAGAACUACUUAAUAAGUGUUAGGAUUUGAAAGAAAGCAAAUGGAAACCAAAUGUUAUGAAUCUAUAGAACAGGAAGCAUAGUUUACUGAUAAAAAGAAAAUAACAUCAUUAUAAGAUUAACUUAUGAAGAAAAUGAAAGUACAACCACAUGAAUUAUUCCUUUUCAAAUUGAGAAAAUUUUAUACAUUGCUCAAAAAUGCAAAUUAAAGUGGAAGUUUGCGACCAAAGAUACAAAGGCAUCAGUCAUAUGCAAAAUGUCUAACUUGCUAGUUCAAUACUAUUAGUUAAAGCGAAUUUCACUCUAAAGAAUCAUCCCAACCCUGCAUUCCACCCAUCCUCUUGUUAUUGAAUUCCACUUUCCACCCAUGCAUUCUCGUUAGAGAGAGAGAGAGAGAGUCUUCGUUAUGCAGUCAAGUCUCAAAUAAAAAGCAACAUAGAAUAAAUGUGAAAGAAGAUUGAAAGAUUAAAAUGCAUUGUUACAACAUCACAAGAAGAUAAUAACACAAUAUGAACAUGUGCAACAAUAAGGAGAUUUGAAUUUCUUCUUUGAGUUUUAAAUGUCACCAGAAUUAAGAAUCAAAAGAAAUUGAAGAGGCAUGCUCAACAAUAAGAACACAAACUUAAGAAAUCCAACUAUUCUAUAAUAGCUUGUUUUCAUUAAUACAUAAACUCUAAGCAUAAUCUCAGGCUACUUACAUUGAAAUUUAGAAUACAACUACACUUUUACUCAUAAUCAAACACUAAUGUUCAAUUUACUUCAUGUGUCCACUGAUAGAUAGCACUAAAUUAAACAUAGCACUGCAAUCAUAGUUUGAUGCAGGUUUUGGAGUGCAUCCCCUCCCCACCGAGUAAUUAUAUAGCAUGUACAUACUCUCACAGCCUCUUCUCUCGUGUACAAAAGACAAUUGGCAUCAUCCAUUCUUCCUGCAAUGAAAUUAUAAUUAGAAAAAGAAGAAGAAAAACAUUAACCCGAAUAGCCAUUCAUUGAGGCGGUAAAAAUUCUAGCAAAAAAAGGGCAUGGUCCAGCUAGGCCCACAUAUAGAGAAAAGGGCUCUGGAAUCCGGUACUCCAGUACUGGCUGCUGCUUAGGUAGCUCACAAAUUUAUCACAGCCCCACUGUGACCGAAAUUUAUUUUGCUGCAUCGUAUAAUACAUCUCAUGAUCAAGGACUUGUAAUAUUGAACACGAUAUAGAUUUCAGAAACGUAUGCAUUCAGAAUUGUACCACACCUAUCAUCAUAUAACUGAGGAAAUAAAAAUUAAGUGUGGAUUAUUUAUUUUGCAUCACGUUCUUAAUUGUUUUGAUCAUAUACUACUCAUGAGAGCGAUGGAAGAAAUUUUUAUGCAAGAAAAAGAACCGUGUGAGAGAUAGAGAUUGAUGGAGAAGUGGUAGUAGUAGAAUUAUGAGCUUGGGUUGUAAUCAUUUUUCUUCUGAAGUAGUAGAUGCAUAGGAAAUACAACAUCAAUUAAUAUCAUAGAAGCUUGGGAAACAAUAACAACAUUUAAUGUACUCAUGAACAUUGGAAAGCCAUAACCAAGAGCAUCAACGUAUCAGGUAUGGGGAAAUGAAACUUUGAAGUCACAUUAGAUCAAAGCAUAGUUUUAAAACUCGGCUCGGUCAUCGACUCGGCAGGGGUACUGGGUCAUUAGGUUAAUGGUUGAACCACUGAGUCGUUGGUUGAACCGCAUGACUGAACCGGAUUAAACCGGAUAACUCGGCUUAAGAUUUUUUUUUAGGUAUUUAGCUAGAUUAAAUCGGAUUGAAUCGAUGACUCGACCACCUUAAAAAAAAAAAGCUAUAUUUUGUGGACAAGAAAUAUAUUUUUUUUUUAGAAAACAAAAAAUAUAUUUUGAUUUGCAUAUCUAUUAAUAUUAAUAUAAUACAUAGAUUUUCUAAAAAAAAAAUAUAAUAUGUAUAUUUUUUUUUUUUUAAGGAGAGAUGAUAUGUAUAGAAUUUUUUAGAAGAUAUUUAUUAUUAUUAUUAUUUUGAAAGAAGAUAUUUAAUUAUGAUGUGUUGUGUUUGAACAAAGAAAAAUGAUAUGAUUUUUUCCUUAACAAAUGAAGAUAUAAUAUACUUAUAUUUAUACACUACAAAUUAUGUCACAAGCAUGUGGUUGUUGUAGUGGUAAAAUAUAUUUUGAUUCAGUUAUGUGAGUGCUGUUCGCAUUUAAUUAGCUUUAAUCAGUGUUAAUUGUGCAUAAUGAUUUAAUUAAUGACUAAUUAUGGCUGUAAAUAUAAAAAAAAAUCAUGGAACCGGAUUGACCCAAAAACCGGCCGAGUUACCGGUUUUUCACGAGUCUCCCCGGUUUAUACCGGUUUAAUUGCAUGGCCGAUCUAACAUUUGGCUCGAACCGGCCUACCCACCGGUUCCAGGUCGGACAUGAGAUCCAACGGACCACCUUGAUUGGCGCCUAAACUAUCUAGGUUUAGGGUAUAAAAAAUAAAAUAAAUAAACAAAAAAAGUAUUUACAGGAUACAAAUUUUGGAUCACAUAUUUUCAAAUAUCUCCUUAUAAACUACAUUUGAAGUGGUGUUAAUACAAUCUCCAUUUCAUCCGUUAAAAAGGUGAAACAUGGUGUUAAAAAGAGAAUAAUGUAAAUUUGUUGAGUCUCAAAUGCAUAUAAAAAUAAUUACUCACGUUAAUAAAAUUAAGCUCGACUUUGUAAGUUCUAUACUUGAUACGAAGAUCGUUGACAAUCCUUUCCAAUUCAGAGUUGGGAUUAGGGUUCAAAGAUGCUGGUAAAAAACAACAAAAAACAAUCAUCUUUAAUUUGUACAAAACUGAAAAUCACAACAAAAACGAUGGAAGAUUCAUACCAAUUAAAGCAUGGUUGGAAAGCAACGUCUAGUUGCCAGUGUUUGCCAUUGGAUUCGAUUGAAUUUGAAAAAGAAUAAGAUAUGAGUGAUGUGAUUCCAUAAUAUAUAUACACGUUAAGAUUCAUUCAUCAUGUAUCAUGGAUAUCAUACCUAUACAUUGGAAUAACACAAAAGCAUUGGAAAUACUAACAACAUUAAAUGCAAUCAUGGAAUGGGGGAAGCCACAAACAAAAACGUGAGAAGGAGGAUUUGGGGAAACAAUAACAACAUUUAAUGUACUCAUGAAAGGUGGAAAGCCAUAACUAAGAGCAUUUAAUGUAUCAGGCAUGAGGAAAUAAAAGUUUGAAGUCAAAUUAAAUCAAAGGAUGAGAUGCACACUGAGCCAAAUGAUGAGAUCCAACGGUCAGCAUCGUUUUGGAGCCAAAACCGUUUAGGUUUAGAGUUUGCAAAGUCAUUAGCAAUGUUAAGAAGGAUUAGAUAUAAGUAUGAUAUGAUUAGAACAGAGAAAAGAUAAUGAUUUUGAGGAAUGUAAAUUGUAUAUUGAAUCUUAUGAAAUUUGUAUAAAGAAUGGGUUUAUAUACAAACUAGUGUUAUAAUGUUACUUGAAGCACAAGUAAGUAACAACUAUAACCCUUAUUGCUUAAAACUUGUAACAAACUUUAAAUUAAACUAAAACAAAAUGUAAUCAAUCAUCUAAUCAUGAUUAACACUAAUCUAACUUGAAUUACCAACUAAACUAGCAUCCUCUCUUAAUUUAAGUUUCCACUUCCUUCAUGCCAAUCAAGCUUCUGAGCUUGAUAUGAUGAACCUGUCAACCUUCAAUGCUUUUGUGAAUAUGUCUGCAAGCUGCAGCUCAGUGGAGCAAUGGACAAUCUGCAAUGCACCUUUGUUCACUUGCUCCCUUAGAAAAUGGAAUUUAGCCUUUAUAUGCUUGCUUCUCCCAUGCAGAACUGGAUUUAUUGCUAAGCUUAUAGCAUAUUUGUUGUCGAUGAACAAUGCUAUAGGUCUGCUAACCUCUAUCUCCAUUUCCUUAAGUAUAUUUUCAAGUCAUACUGCCUGACAUGCUGUCAUACAUCCUGCAAUAUACUCAGAUUCACAGGUUGACAAUGCUACAACUGGUUGUUUCUUAGCACACCAUGAAAUUGGAGCAUUUAAGAACUUAAAUAGGUACCCUGAAGUGCUCUUUCUAUCCUGCUUGUCUCCACACCAAUCAGCAUCAGAAUAUGCCAUCAGUUCCAUAGAACUAUCAUUCAAACAUUUAGGAAAUAGAAUACCAUACUGUAGUGUUCCUUUGAUGUAUCUCAUCACCCUUUUGGCUGCUAGCAGGUGAGAUACUCUUGGUUCACUCAUGAAUCUACUGAUUAUACCAACUGCAUAUGCAAUAUCAAGCCUACUAUUGCAUAGAUACCUCAGUGAACCUACAAUUUGCUUGAACAAUGUAGGAUCCACUGAUUCUUCAUCUUCAUUUAACACCAGUUUCAUAUUUGUUUCAGCAGGUGAUGAAUAUGAAUUGCAAUUCAUCAUAUUGAACCUCUUCAAUAUGUCAAUGCAUACUUCUUUUGAUGUAUCACCAAUCCCUUUGCAACUUCAGUAAAUUCCAUUCCUAGAAAAUAUGUCAAUUUUCCUAAAUCUGACAUUUCAAAUUCAUUCAUCAUCUGAGUUUUGAAUGCUUCUAUUUCUUUCACAUUGAUGAGAUAAAACCGCAAGUGCACGGUUCUAUCGAAGUAGUAAAAUAAGAGUAUCGUUCCGACAGGGAGUUAUGAAUUCAAUAACUUUUAAUGAUGAUUAGACGAAAGAGUUUUAGAUAAAAGUUUGGAUUUUUAAUUACAAGAAAAUUAAUAAGAUAAAAGCCUUGGAAUCAUUGGUUCAUCCUAAUGACAAGUCCUUCACAAACCAAACUAUUAAACUUAUAACCUUAUGUUAGACCUAAUUUCUCAAGACAAUUUCUCUUUUGUUCCUCUAGCAACCAAGCAUAUUUCGCUGACUUGGUUACUAUUAGAUUUUGGUUCCUCUAACAACCAAGCCUAUUUCGCUGACUUGAUCAUUAUUAGUUCCCUUGAAGAUCGAAACUAUAUGUCUCAAAGAUUGUAAAGACUAUUUCGCUGCCUUUGCAAUCCUUGUCUAAAUUCACUUGUUCGAAUAUCAAAGCUCCACUUUCGUCUAAUGAAUUGAUAUUUGAGAUGAUGGAUAAACAAUUAUCAAACCCUCCACUUUCGUUUCCACAGUUUGAUAAUGGUUGAUCCAUGUUAAAGCGGUGAUUUUAGAUAAGAAAUUAGGGUUACAUAAGAUUAAGGUUUAAAGCUUGGUUUGAUUAGGAUUAUGUCAUUAGACUUAUCCAACAAUCCCAAGACAAGAGAAGUCUACUCACUAACGUUCAUUGUAGACAUGGAGAAGAAGAGAGAAAGCAUAAAAGUAAAUAACAAGAAAGUAAAAGAACUUUUAUUAGAAAGAUAAUUGUCACAUAUUGCAUUCCAAGAAAGGAUGAAUAUUUGUGAUGGCUAGCUACUCUAUUCAUAGUUUACAUUCGACUUAAAAUCUAAGCAAUCACUAGAAUGUUCCACAAGUAAACUAAAAUAGAGUAGCUUAAAAUCUAAGCAAAAGCAGCAAAAGUUGUUCUGGGAGGUGGCACGGCCGUGCCAACCUUAGCACGGGCCGUGCCAAGCUUCUGACUUUAGGGAGAUAUAUUUUUGUCUCCGAAUCUUCAUAUUUUCGUACUGAAUCAGCUCCAAAACCCCUUUCUUUUGCUCCAAAACUCAAUCCAUCAAAUAUUCGUUUCUGAAAUAUAACAAUAUGCAAUUGUAGUAAAAUAGCUCGAAAAGGAAAUAAUACUAAUAUAAAAUAAACUUAAAUCUAAUUAAAACUAAACUAAAUAACAUAUAAAAAUAUAUAAUAAAUGACUCAUCACACAUCACGACCAGUUACUAUCAAAUCAUCAACAUAUAGACAGAUGAGUAGUUGAUUACCUUCAAUUCCUUUCUUCACAUAUACACCAUAUUCAGACUUGCAUUUGACAAAUUCUUGCUGCAUAAGAAAACUGUCAAUUCUCUUGUUCCAAGCUCUUGGUGCCUGUUUCAAUCCAUAGAGUGCUUUGUGUAAUCUAUACACCAUAUUCUCCUUCCCUUUGAUUUUGAAACCUGGUCGAUGUGUCACAUACACUUCUUCAUCUAAAGGACCAUUUAGAAAAAAAGAUUUUACAUCCAAAUGAUGCAUUGACCAGUUUCUUCCACAAGCUAUAGCAACUAUCAACCUCAUAGUCUCUAGUCUUGCUACUGGAGCAUAAACUUCAAAGUAAUCCAUACCAGCCUUCUGCAUGAAUCCCCUAGCCUCUAAUCUUGCUUUGUACUUGGCUACUUCACCAUUUGGCUUCAACUUCAACUUGAAAAUCCAUUUCACAUCUAUUGGUUUCUUGGUAGCAGGCAGCUCAAUCAGUUCCCAUGUGUUAUUUCUAUUGAUUGAAUUCAACUCUUCAAUCAUUGCAUUCUUCCACACAUCUUCAUUCAGUGCUACUUCAUAAUUGAUUGGUUCUGCAUCUGCUAAUAGUGCAAAAUGCACAAAUUCCCCUUCUUCACUAACUAAAUUAUCUGGAGUGACUUCAUAUCGAGCCAAUCUAGUUGUAGCAAAUCUCUGUCUAGCUAAAGUUCUAAUGCCUUGAUUCUCUUCAACAUGCACUUCAGGUUGAACUUCAGUAUCAAGUUGAACUUGUUCAACUUGAUCAUCUUCUUCAAUUAUUGUGGGAACUGUGUGACUCUUCUCUUUCUUAUUCCAACCCCAUGCUUCAUUCUCACGGAUUUUAACAUCUCCACUAAUCAGCAUUGAAUGAUUUAGAGGAUUAUAUAACUUGUAUGCACCUGUUUCAUGAUAACCAACCAAUAUCAUAGGCUCACUCUUGUCCCCCAGCUUCACUCUCUUUUCAUCAGGGAUAUGCAUAUAGCAUAAUGAACCAAAAACUCUUAAGUGUUUAGCUGACUGCUUGCAACCAGUCCAAAUCUCUUCAGGUAUUUGAUCAAGUUUCUUAGUGGGGCAUCUGUUCAAGAUGUAGGCUGCAGUUGUUACUGCUUCUCCCUAAAAAGUAUUAGGCAUCUUCUUCAGCUUGAGCAUACUUCUGGUCAUGUCAAGCAUGCUUCUAUUCCUUCUCUCAGCCAAACCAUUAUGUUGUGCAGUGUAUGGAGCAGUGACUAUUAUCUUCACAAAACUUUUCAAACACCUUCGAAGUAUACUCACCAUCACCAUCAGUUCUUAAAAUCUUAAAAGACUUUCCACUUUGCUUUUCUAUCAAGAUUUUAAACUUCUAAAACAUUUUAAAUGCUUCGCUUUUGGCCUUAAUCAAAUACAACCAGAGUUUUCUGCUAAACUCAUCAACAUUGAGCAUCUCCUUUGAUCUAAUAGCAAUACCUCUCUCUCUCUCUAGUCUAUAAUAAGCUGAAAGAUAUAGAUACAAUAGACCUCAAGUGGUGUCCAAUUAUACCCGAUAAGGCAAGUUUUUCUCUUAAACUUUCAUGAAUUUAGUUUCUAUGUGCAUAUUUUAAUUCUUUAGGAUGCUGAUUGAAGAAAAAGAGCUGUUACUGAUAGGUUGAAACCAUGUUAUGCUAUGCUCUUUGCCUGGCAGUUAGUGAUCUUUACUGAUUGAAACCAUUCUCUCGCUAAUGCUGCCACUGUAAUUCGCUAAAAAGUAAUACCACCGGAUGGAGAGCAUUGGAUUUGAAAAAUAUUCAAUUUUACCUCUCUUCAGCACUUUGAUCAUCUCCACUAACUUGUACAUAUUUUUAGGUAUUCACUCAAGGAGAGCUUGGGUUUUUAUGUUCUCUUUUAUUCUGCAUAAAAGUUUAAAAAGUCAAAAGUUAGUUGUGUUUGGUUACAACAGCAAAGAUACUAAAACACACAAAUAAUAUUAUUUUAAUACUCUCAGGUCUUAUAUACGAAAAACAUUUACUUUUUUAAUUUAUUGCAUAAAUGAUAUAUUUGGUCUAUAUUCUAGACAAGAUAGAUCAAUUACUCCAAUAAAUCUAAAAAGUCAAUGUUUUCUUACAAAUAGGACCGUUUUGUAAAGUAUCCACCAUGCUUCUUAGAAGCAAAUGCUACAAUAAUUCUGACUAUUUGCCAUAAACAAAACUUUGUGAAUUAAAAUGUAACUUUACUUCCUUACCCCUUCUUCCUCCUCCUUAUUUUCUAUUUUAUGUGCUUUAGGACUAACUAGAGAAACUAAAAAACAUUCAUACAAUACUGCCCAAAACUACCAUGGAAUAAAACUAUGCCUUCAAUUAAGUUUGUUCUUGAUUUUAACCUGUGUUCACCUUUGUUUCUUCAUAUUUUCAAUUUGUUCAUUUGAGUCACUCGAUCUAUCCAUCACACCAAAUUGUCUGAAAGUGACAUCCAUCCAAAUUACUUUGUUCAAUUGUAAUGUGUCAAGCAACCCACGACUACGACACAAAAAUAAAAUAGAGGUCGUGAUAUAAUUACUAAGUAUAAACUGCAAAUCAAGUAAAACAACCGUGUCAAUUAAAAUAUCAAACUUGUCCAUGAAUUUUUGUAUUCCAUAUGAAUUGAAAAUUUAUGGUUCAUGGUAGUUAUUGAUACUCUCACCAGAGGAUUUUUCAACCAAAAAAUUAUGUGAUACCUUUUCAGACUGCAUCUCGGCCUUUAUUCUGAUUAGAUGAAGUACCAUAACUAUAGCCAAAGACGAAGCCAAGACAAUAAUUGGCAUGUGUAAUGACCUGUAAAAGUUUGGCCAAAGUAUCCUUCUCACCCUGAUAAUCGUUGUUCCAGCUUGCCUGCAGCGUGACUGUUGUUUUUCGAGUUCAGAAAACUACCUUUUAAUAAAAUUUAAUUCAUCAUCGAAGAUAUUAAUGGGUUGAGUCACGGCCAGGUCGCUUUCUUUAAGACGUUUCACGACGCUAACCUCGUUUGGCAAGUUAGACUAACAACUCCAGGAUAAAAUAGUGAGACUACUCAAAUAUGGUGUUACCAACAUUCUAAUUUUUAACUUCUCCAAUUAUGGUACCAUGACCACUCAAAUAUGUUGUUACUACCAUUCUAACGUCUAACUUUUCCAAGAAUUGAAGAAGAGUAUAUUUUUAAUAUCAUUCUUAUUAUACCGAAAAAGGGACCAUGAUCUUCAAAUAUUAUUUAUUAUAAAGAAACAUAUAUAAUUGAAAGGACUAUGCUCUUAAGACCAUUCUUAGUUGCGAAAGGACAAUAAACCGAAAAAGGACUAUGAUCUUAAUAACACUCUUAAUUUCGAAGAGACAGAAGGAGUAGGAAAAAAAAAGGAGAAUGACUCGUUAACACAAGUCGAAGGAGGGAGAAGAGAGGAAAAAACACAUGAAGCAUCAACUAUGACAAUUACGGUGUGUAGAAUGCAUUGUGUGUGAGCUCUCUAUUUAUAAAGAAAGUUCACAACUAAUAAGUGAAAAACUAAGGAAACAAAUAAUACACAUAUUAGAUCAAGUACAAAAAUAUUUCAACUGAGUACCAAAAUAUAUUAUAUUGCGUACAAAAACAUAUUAUUUAGUACAUUAAUAUAUUAUUGAUUAUCAAAAUAUAUUUCAGAUCAUUUACUAAAAUAUAUUACAUUGACUACCAAAAUAUUUCAUAUUGUGUUCCAAAAUAUUUUAUCAAAACUUGGGGACGAAGAAAAUACUUUUUAAUAAUGAUUAAAUUAAUUAUUUAAUUUAUCAUUUCCAAAUAAUAAAAUAUAUAUCAAUAUUUUUUUUCUCUCCAGUACUUAUUUUGUUCAUAUAAUUAUAUACCUCUAUUACCCACUAUAUAAACACUACUAAUGUGUGUUCCCCUAUUAGAAGUUGAAAAUGAGAAUGUUUUGAUUCUGUUUUGCUGAUAUAGGACUUAAGUCACCUAGUGUGAAAAGCAAUUUUUCAGUUGGGAGCGAGCAAUUUUUGUUGGGUAAAAAGCAGAAUUCUUUUACUAUAUAUAAAGAAAAUUACACAUUUCAGCCUACUUUUGGGUUGGAAUUUUCUUUCCAAAAAUACCCUUAAUUUUUAAUUUUAAUUUUAAAUGCAAAUAACACAUGUAACAAAUAGAUAUGAAUAAAUUUAAUUUAAGGAGAAAACUUUCGCACAAUUCUUUAUGAAUUGUUCUUACAGUUGGCCAAUUAUAAAAUAGCACGUGAAUUAUUAAUUCAUGUCACUAAUCAUCCCCGUUAACCCUCUUUUACCUCCGUUAACCACAAGUCAAACUCAGAAAAAAACUAGCACAAAACAAAAACUCAUGUUACUUUUUUAUCAGUCGAUUUUCCGAUUUUAUGUUGCACAUUUGUGUUAUUCCCCUCAAUAUAACUGACAAAGAUUGUCAAGUAUUUUCAUAUCCAUUCCAUAAAAAACAGUAUUUCCAUAUUAUUUAUUACUUCCACCAAAAACAGUACUUCCAUAUUAUUUUAUUAAUAUAAGUUACUCUUCCUUAGUCUUUGAUCAAUUGUAACAAAUGUGAGCAAAAAAUAAUGGUAAAGAUUGGACUUUAAAUCCUCUAAAAAAAGAUUAGAAACAAACAUGAACAAAAAAUAAUGUUAAAGAUUGGACUUUAAAUCCUCUAAAAAAAUGAGUAACAAGCGUGAGCAAAAAAUCAUGUUAAAGAUUGAACUUUAAAUCCUCUAAAAAAAAGAUUAGUAACAAAUGUGAGCAAAAAAUGAUGUUAAAGAUUGAACUUUAAAUACUCUAAAAAAAUAUUAGGACUCAAAAUAUUUUAGAAAAAAAUUUGUUAGUACUAUAUUAAAUAUUAAUAAGUAGGGUUCUCACGUUCGUUCCCGCGUUGUUUAAUUUUUCUCAGCCUCUCUCAACCCUCUUCAUCAGAAUUCAAAAUUAACCUGUUUAGUUUUUUUCUUUCUUUCAUGUUACAACUAAUCAAAGUCGAUUAAUUUUAUGGAUUAUAUAUUUGACUUUCCUGGUUUAUAAUUGCUUGUAAAAACUAUGAUAGCGUGGCUUUUUUUUAUUUUUUUUUAUUUUAUAUAUAGAGAGAACCGUGGUUUUUUUAAUUAUUAAAUAAAGGGAAAAUAAGCAAUGACAUCCCCUGCUGUUAAGCUUCUUCCACUAUCGUUUAAAGGAAUAAAAGCAUUGAUUUUCUCUUUGUGAUUUCAAACGUUAUGCAUGUAUACAAUUGAUAAACUGCUCAUAUGGCCCCCAUCCAAUAUCCAACAAAAUAGAGUGAAAUCAAAGUGUUAAAACCAUUUAAACAAUUCAAAAUUGUUAAAUGAUAAUCACACUCAUGUUACCAGCAACUAAAAACAGAAACACUAGAAAGCUUCAAAUCACCAUCUUUUGUUUUUAGUUACAUUCAAACCACCAUCUGAGAGGCCAUAAAAAGAGAGGACCACUAAGAAGUAUGGAUACGAACACCGACGCCAAAUACAACACAGAAACUAACACACUAAUAAGGUUGAUAAUUUGAGAAAAUUACAUAAUAUAGGAUAAUUAUAUUUGUGGAUGCAACACAUGUUCAGACACAUCUAAUAUGAGGAGUGUAUGUGAUUCAUAGGCGAGGAGUAAUAUCAUAUUUCAUAUAUGGUCGAAAGAGCAUAACUACACCUACAAAUGAUGAUGUUUCAAAAUUGAAUGACAUAAUUAUCAAUUAGUUUUCAGGAGAAUAAUAUAAUUUGUUGUCAUUUAACGAGGUUGAAGGAGAUACUCAUAACUUAUAUCAAUAGGAAUUCAUAUACUCAACUGCUCAAGAAAGUAUCCCACCACAUAUUUUUAAGGUAAAAAAGGUGCAUCUUUGAUGUUGUUGUGAAACAUAUACCCUAGAUAUGGUCUGUGUAAAGGAACACGAUUGUUAUGUCGUGGUUUAUUUAAGAAUUUGUUGGAUGUGGAAAUCGUAUCAGGAAGCAAUGCUGGAAAAAGAGCAUUCUUGCCCAGAACUAAAUUAAAAACAAAUGCGAGUUCAUGACUUCCCUUUGUGCUUAGUAGAAAACAGUUUCCAACUAAGUUUCGCUAUUACCAUAAAUAAGUCACAAGGGCAUACCAUUCGCAAUGUUGGAAUCUAUCUUCCACAACAUGUUUUCAGCCAUGGUCAAUUAUAUGUAGUUUUAUCAAGAGGAGUUUCUCAAAAUUCAAUAAAAGUUAUGAUUCACGACAGGAAAAUAGAAGGAGAAGAUGGAGACUUUACGAAAAAUGUAGUUUUUAAAGAUAUUCUUUUAUCGCAAUCAUAGCAAUGUUUCUUUUACACAACACACAUUUAUGUUAUGAUGUUACUAAUUACUACUCCAUCCGUCCCUAAUUAUAAGACCCUUUUGAAAAAAUAAUGGGAAUUAAGAUAGUGGAUAUUUGUAUUAAAUAUGUUUGUAAUUACUAUUGUUUUUACAAUUUUAUCCUUUAAGAGAGAGAGGUGGUUUAUGUUUUCAACAUGUUAUUUAUUGCUGAUUGAAGAAAAAGAUGUAUAAUAAAUAGGGGCAUGCAUGUAAAGAAAUAAUUAAUGUAGUUAGAAAUAACAAAAGAGUCUUAUAAAAAGGGACAAAAAAAAUUCUCAAAAUGGUCUUAUAAUUAGGGACGGAGGGAGUAUUAGAAUAAACAAUAAAUGACCAUUAUUUUACCUUAAUUUUAUAUGACAAACUAAAAUAUGUUGAGUUCAAAAAUAAUUUUGUUAUAUGCCUUUACAAUAUUUUUGUUUAUAAAUCAAUAUAUCAAUAAUUUUCAUAAUAUUUUAAUCAAAAUUAUACCAACAAACAUAAUAAAAUAAUCACAUACAGACGGGCCCGAUAGUGUCCGUCUUUCCGCUAGUAUGUGUAUAUAUAUAUAUGGUUUACACAGACUUGUCCUACUUUUGUUCAAUAGGUGCCGAUAUCCACAGCCACUCGUUGAUCGCGUUUGUUUUCAGAGUUCAUUCGUUUUCUUCCUUCUUCAUUGGAUUUGUAUACCUCCCUCAUCCUCAUCAUGUUUGAGGUAUUUUCAUUCCUUUUCAAUUCUAGUUGAUAAUUGAAUCUAUUAUGUUUGUUUGAUUCGAAUCUUCUCAAAUUUGUGAGAUUAGGGUUUGUAACCUUUGAAUUGAUUUAUUUUUAUGUGAAAUAGAAUGUUUUAUGAUGGAAUUAAACCUUCCAUUACACUGAUUCUUUGGUUGUAUGUUUCUUUAUCAAUUCAAUCUGUUCUGUGCUGUGUUGUUUGGAGAUAUUCCAAUCUUCUCUUAUUUGUGGGAUUAGGGUUUCAAACUUUUGAAUUGGGGAUUCCAAUUUUGUGUGUGACCCUGAUUUUCUUUUUAUUUGCAAGGGUUUUUGUUGAUUGGAUAACAUGAUUAUUCUAUUUGUGAGAGAAACUUAUAUACUACAUAUGUUCCUCAUUUUAUUGUUAUUAUUUUUAUAUUUGUGUUUGCCACUUUUAAUUAAUUAGUUGUUCUCUGUUGGAAUUUAUUCAAUGGAACGUUACCAGCAGCCUACACUCUCCCUAAUGGGUGAUUCGACCUAAUCCUAUUUUCAUACAAGUAUUUUUGCGGCGCUAAGUUACGAUGUGAGUUUUGGUGCGCUUUAUAUGUUUGACAUUUUAUCUUUUUAAAUUUGACAUUUUAAAAGUUCUGUUUGGCUCAUUGAUCUUCAUUUCAUUCUCUACUGACAGGGAGGAAGAAGAAAUCACGGUUUAUCUGGUUGCAUUAGCCUACCCCGGUUCAUGUUCUGAGCUUGGUCAAUCAUUGUGGAAUUAAAGAGGAAAAUAUCAGGUUUUGCAGGACGUUUUUGUAUAGGGUUUGAAACAACAAUUUGAUUCAAUAAUAUUGGAUCAGCUCUUUCAAAUACGCGUAUCGGGACGUAUCGGGGUGUAUCGGUAUCAGAUACAUGUCGGAUACGAUACUUCACCAUUUUUGGAGUAUCGGGGCUUCAGAGGCUAACAUAAAUUAUUCUAUUUGUAAUUAAUUAGUUGUUCUCUGUUGGAAUUUAUUCAAAGGAACGUUACCAGCAGCCUAGACUCUCCCCAAUGGGCCCUUCACGAUCGCCGCUGCCACCGCAAAUGGGUAAUUCAACCUAAUCCUAUUUUCAUACAAGUAUUCUUUUGCUGUUUGAUUUGAUGAAUCUCAAAUAAUAACUUCACCCUUCGGAUUCUUAUUAUUUCAUCAAUACAAUAGAAAAAAAACUUCUUCUUGGGAAGAAGCGGAAGGAGCAAAAAGUAGAAAGGUAACUCUCUCUCUCUCUCAAACUUUAGGAUCAAUGUCUCUCUUUCUUUAGCAUGCAUACUUGAAGCAUGAGAAAGAGUGGAUGCUGAUUGAAGAAGAAAAAGAGCGUCUUGGGAAAGGGAAAAGAGGAGCUGUUACUGAUAAGUUGAAACCAUGUUAUGCUAUGCUCUUGGCCUGAGAAUAGAGGAGCAGUUACUGAUAGGUUGAAACCAUGUUAUGCUAUGCUCUUGGCCUGAGAAUUGUGUCAGUCUUUUGUACAAGAAUGUAGAAGAAUUAUUAUAAUUCUAAUUGUGUUAUGUUUCUUUGUUUUGUAUUCUGUGUUGGAUUUCAGUUCUGCUGAUCUUUGUGGCACGUACUGCUUCA
rnacentral:lncRNA from 1 species